GGGAGAUUAGCUCAGUUGGUUAGAGCAUCUGCCUUACAAGCAGGGGGUCAUAGGUUCGAGUCCUAUAUCUCCCACCA
rnacentral:tRNA from 1 species